rnacentral:rRNA from 1 species
CCCUUAGAUGUUCUGGGCCGCACGCGCGCUACACUGUUCGACGCAGCGAGUCUUAACCUUGACCGAAAGGUUUGGGUAAUCUUCAGCAAAGUCGAACGUGAUGGGGAUCGAUCAUUGCAAUUAUUGAUCGUGAACGAGGAAUUCCUAGUAAGUGCAAGUCAUCAGCUUGCGCUGAUUACGUCCCUGCCCUUUGUACACACCGCCCGUCGCUACUACCGAUUGAAUGGUUUAGUGAGAUCUCUGGAUUGACGCUGGCUAGGGGGCGACCCUUGGCCUGGCUGUCGAGAAACUGCUCAAACUUGAUCAUUUAGAGGAAGUAAAAGUCGUAACA